rnacentral:rRNA from 1 species
UGGGGGAUAUUGCACAAUGGGCGAAAGCCUGAUGCAGCGACGCCGCGUGGGGGAUGAAGGCCUUCGGGUUGUAAACUUCUUUUGCUCUGAACAAGGCAUGCUAAUGGGUGUGCUGAGUGUAGGGGUUGAUUAGCGCCGGCUAACUACGUGCCAGCAGCCGCGGUAAUACGUAGGGCGCGAGCGUUGUCCGGAAUUAUUGGGCGUAAAGGGCUUGUAGGUGGCUGGUUGCGUCUGUCGUGAAAGCUCAUGGCUUAACUGUGGGUUUGCGGUGGGUACGGGCUGGCUUGAGUGCAGUAGGGGAGGCUUGAAUUCCUGGUGUAGCGGUGGAAUGCGCAGAUAUCAGGAGGAAUACCGGUGGCGAAGGCGGGUCUCUGGGCUGUUACUGACACUGAGGAGCGAAAGCAUGUGGAGCGAACAGG